rnacentral:rRNA from 1 species
UACGUAGGGACCGAGCGUUGUCCGGAAUCAUUGGGCGUAAAGAGCGUGUAGGCGGCCCCUUAAGUCCUGCGUGAAAUCCUGCGGCUCAACCGCAGACGGUCGUGGGAAACUGGAGGGCUAGAGUGCGGGAGAGGAGAGUGGAAUUCCCGGUGUAGCGGUGAAAUGCGCAGAUAUCAGGAGGAACACCGGUGGCGAAGGCGGGUCUCUGGGCCGAUACUGACGCUGAGGAGCGAAAGCGUGGGGAGCGAACAGG